CGUGUAGUCCUGCACGAACCAGCGGAAGCUCAGGCUCUGCACCAGCAGCGACGGCACCAGCACGAAGAACAGGGUCAGCCCGAAGCAGCCGUAGUCCCCCUUGCGGUAGUAGUCGAGGGCCAGCCACAGCGAUAAGGAAACCAUCAUCUCAGUUGUUUCUUGCCCUUUGGGCCAAGAUCGAGUGUGGAAUCCAUCUCCUCCAACUCUUUGAAUAAGUGGACUCUCAGCUCUGCAACUUUGUGUUCCAGACAAAUUAUUUUGACAAGAGUGUGGAAGUCAGAGCAAAGAGACUAUUCCCCACCAGAGAAAGUUGUCAUCUGAAGGACUACAUUGCCAGUUCUACACAAACUCUGCAACAGCAGAUCCCAUAUUGUUGGCUACUCUUUGUUUCGUUUUCAGCACAGGUAGAGUGAGAAAAAGACAAUAGCAGAGCACAAACUACACUGGGAUGGAAGUCAAGACAAGGAAAACCCAUCUGAGAAAGCUCUUGUCUUCAUACUAAACAAGAAGGUUGGGAGAGACGCUCGCUCAAUGGGUGGAGUGUUCACCCAGCAUUCAUGAAGCUGUGAGGUCAAUCCCCAGCACUGCAGAAGCCUGGAGUAGUCAUGGGAACCUGUAAAUCAAGCACUUGGGAGACGAAAGCAGGAGGGUCAGAAGUUUAAAAUCAAUCAUUGUUGAAUACAUAGGAGCUUAAGGUCAGCCAGGGCCACAUGAGACCAUGGUUCUUUUUUGUUUGUUUGGUUGGUUGGUUGUUUUUUGUUUUUUUGUUUUGUUUUGUUUUGUUUUGUUUUUUUUUAUAGCUCUACAAGGGAGGAAAGGUCCUAGGAAGGAGAAAGGUCCAGCUUGAUGAAGAAAGCAGAAAGAAAAUGCAGCCUCAUUCAUAGCAGAAACAGAAUAAUUCACAAACUCUAAGGGCGGCAAAAAGGUUCAGAGGGUAGAGGCACUUGCCUAUCCAUGGGAUUACCUGAGUUUGAGCCCCAGAGCCAAGGCGGCUGCAGAGAACUUACUUCUGAAAUGUGUAUCCCACCUCCCCUUCUACUCAUAGGCAUACACACACUAAAGAAAAUAAAACUUGAAAUGACAAAGGCCAUGCACAUGCAGGCCCGGCGAGGCUGAGUCCACACAGAACUAGCACGUGAGUCUCACCCAGCAGUCUUUCAAGCCUUAGACACAGUGUCACUGAGCAUCAGUGAUCAUCAAUAGCCAUCCUCAAUCACGCGUUCUGCUAAACAGUACGAAUGGCUCCUGCAUUGCCAGGGUGGUCACUGCUAGAUACUGCAGCAAUGCAGUGGGCUAUAAGACCCCGUUUUACCUCCUAGACACUCUAAGAUCAGCCAGGAAACAGAAGGGAGGAACCAGGCAGAAUUUUUUUGUCACAUAGAGCCACUAUGGCGGGCAAAUCUGACCUAUGCAGGCAGACGUGUGUGUGAGUGAGUGUGACCAUGAAAACCUUCAGGUAUCCGUGCAGACCCAGUCCCACCAUGCCCCAAACUCUUACCACAAUAGCUUGCCACUCUCUGCAUGGCCCUUGAAGGUCCUAUGAGCAAAUACAGUUGCUUCUUGGUUUGAUUAUUCUCCCAUUGUUUCUUUCUGCCUAACAGUCACUAACGACACUCCCCGCUAGAGCAAGCACACACUUUCACAUUAGCAGGCUCUGCCUCCAGUUUUCUGCGCCUCUCUUUGUCAAUACCGUUUGACUUUGUUUCCAGAACCCGGUACUAGAUUGCUGCUUUUUCAGGAAUAAUCCCUAAAUCCUCUUCUUGAUCUGUGUGCUAGAGGAUUAUCUCCCACCCAGACACAUCACUGGCCUGGCCUCCUUGCUCCACAAUUAAUUAUUAGUUUGUCUAUACUAAAUUACACUUGCCAUCUGCUGAUAAAAAAAAAAAAAUCGCAAAAAUCCAAAAGCCUUUUUCAUGGCUGUCACUAUGUAUUUGUGAUCUGCUCUGCCUCCUAUCAGCUGAAUCAGUUGCAAAAUAGUCUUGGUUUGUUAUUCUUCCUUUCAUUCUGCUCUGUGGUGGAGCUUAUAAGUGAUACAGAAUGUGUUUAUGAGCAUGUAUAUGAACUUUAUAUAUGAGCUUUGAAUAUAUGUAAAACCAAAGUCAAUAUAAUUAAGCUUCCAUGAAAAAAAAUAAAUGGUUCCAGGCCAGCCAGGGCUAUACAGCUAGACUUUGUAUCAAACUGCCAAAAUAUACCAAGGCCAGCCUAGUCUACACAAUUUCAGGCCAAUCAGAGCAAUAUAGUGAGACCUUGUCUCAAAGAGUGAGAGGGGAAUUAUUAAAAAUAAUUCCUUUCAUUAUUAAAAGGAGUAAGUGAGAAAUGAAUUAGGUUAUUUUAAACAACUCUGGAGUAAGUUACAAAACAAUGAGUUUUUUAAAUGAUGCACUUGAAAAAAAAAAAGGGUAAUAUUAAUAAGAACAGAUUCUUCAAAAUCUACCAAAUGACAGGCCGCUGAGAUGUCUCAUCUGCUAAAGGCACUUGCCACCAAGCCUGAUGCUUUGACUUUGAUCACCAGAACCUACGUGGUGAGGAAUUAAAUCGUACAGACCUGGAGAGUAGCAACAGAAAUCCCCUGCCCCUAAUUCCAGAGUCUGGAAGUUCAAGCUCAAGGUGGUAGCGGGGUGAGGUAGUGUCUCACGUGGAGUUUCUCUUCAACAGAAAGAUGACUUCUGUAUGCUCACAUGGUCCUCCCCAAUGUCUUGUCUUUUGUUUUGUUUUGGAUUUGGGUUUUUUUUUUGGGGGGGGAGCUUGUUUUGGCUUGAUAUUUUGAUGUAUUUCUGGCUUGCCUAGAACUCAGAGACAUCUACUUACCUCUGCCACAUAAAAGCUAGGAUUAAAGCCAUGCACCACCAACCCCGGCCCAUCGUCUCCCCUCCAUACAGUCUAUCAUAAUCUCUUCUUAUGGGAACACCAAUCCCAUUGGAUUAGAGCUACCUACCCUCCUGGGCCCAUGCAAUCUUAAUUAGCUCUUCAAUAAUCCCAUCUCUAAUUAGAGU